UAUAUGUAAGUGUAAGAAGCACUUAAGUUUUUGAUACUUGUAGGGACAGUUUAAUUCUGUUAUAUAUAA
rnacentral:tRNA from 3 species